rnacentral:rRNA from 1 species
CAGAUUGCAGGCUGCAACCCGCCUGCAUGAAGUCGGAAUUGCUAGUAAUCGCGGAUCAGCAUGCCGCGGUGAAUACGUUCCCGGGCCUUNUACACACCGCCCGUCACACCAUGGGAGCCGGUAAUACCCGAAGUCAGUAGUCCAACCACGUGAGGACGCUGCCGAAGGUAGGAUUGGCGACUGGGGUGAAGUCGUAACAAGGUAUC